UGACAUUUGAUUUUGUGAAAACUCAAAAUGGUUCACCCCCACCAGUUCAGACCCAAAAUUUCCUCUCUCGUUUCCCCCAAAUCCCAUUUUCCCCAAUUCCCUCUUCCCCCUUCCAUAUUUCAUCUUCCUCAAAAAAUAGAUUAAUGUUUCUCACUGAACUCGUGUUCCCCAACAUUAAAGGAAUCCAUUUUCCUCUCAGCCGAAAAAAAUUCAAUCUCAUUUCUGUAAAGAGGAGUAGAUUUGAAGGAGGUAGCAGAGGUCUAUUUACCAAAAGCUAAAAUUUGAGUAACAUUGAGAUCUUGUGACUUCCUAUUUCUAGGGUUUCAUUGGUUCUCGCAGCUACUGUUGCACGGGAGGUUAAGCUGAGGUCUUUCUUUUCUAUUUUAGGGUUUGUUAUGCUAUUUCUGCAUUUUGUCGAUCUUUCUGGAUCUCUGAACAACUCUUGUUUUGUUGCCCUUGAAGGUUUUUCUGCUUGUAAAACAGGUGAUCGACCGCGACCAGUACCAUUUUUCUUCAGCUAGAGAAAAUUUCUUUGGGGAAGACUUGGAAAAGUUAAGGGACAUCGAAAUAUCUGGGAAAAUGAGAGAGUCCACCAACAACAUAGAAGCAGUAAUGAAAAGUCUAACUCUUCAUCUGGGAUUUUCGCUCCCUCCUUUGGCUGCAUUCUAGGACAUGAGAGCUUCUUGCUGCAUUUUGAGGCCAUAUAUUUUUCCGGAGGAAAUGAUGCUAGCAAAGGAGCUCAAAUAGAAUUUAUUUUUGCUUUUUCUUUACGACGUUUCAUGUGUAUUCACAAAUUCUAUGUUAUGAAUUUUUAAUAAAAAUCUUUGAUCACUUUGUUUGACAAA